AGAAUUGUUUGAUUAAUUAAUGUAAUUUAAUCUGUCAACAUUAUAAACCAAAAUCUAACAGAACUAAAUAGCAAAGAAGCAUGUGUUGUGUGGAAGCAGAUGAACACAAAGUCCUAACAGCAAGCAUCUUGAAUUUCAUAAGCAUCAAACUAUACCCUGGAUAUGCCAUGCACAGCAACGAUAAAGCAGAGAUCCUAGCUAGUGGUAAAAGCCCCACAGGCUUAGCAUCAUCUCAUUAUAGGGCUCCACUUUUUUUUUCAUAUCGCAAUAUGCAGAGAUCAAUCAAGUGUAAGCAGGUUAGUUUUCACACGUGUCGGCUGCAAGACGAACUUGAUAUUUAGUUUCUAAGUGCUGAAUUUACGGAGAUGAUGAGAGUGUAGGGAAGUGGAAAAAUGAGUGGUUUCCAGAACCCAACAGAACCAAUUUAUCUAUGCUUUACAAACAUAGUUAAGAAGAAAAUAGUAGUAUUUGCCUUCAAAACAUCUUGGAUCAGCAUCCCCUUAACCCAUCCCACGUUGUCUCUACUUUAUAACAUAAUUUCAAUUACCUAGAAUUUCCCAGUAGCAGAGCAAAAGACCAGUUCAAUAGCCACUCAACUUUAUUAUUUAGCACACUUGCGUAUCCAGGGCAAGUGCAUCAGUCACACACACAUUUCAAGUGCUUUUUUUUUUUUCUUUUUCUUUUGAUAAGUCACAUAUUUCACAUGCAAAGGUUCAAUUUAUGAGGCCUGAGACAUUAGGAGCUGUAUCUUGGCCUGAUUCAGGAUACAUAGACAUCAAA